AACCCACCCACUUCCAAACCCACUCAUACUCACCCAUUUCAGUAGUGGGUUAUAUGGGUCAAAUGACCCAUUAGGAUCAAGGAAAAAAGGGUUAGGGUGGAUUGGGUCGAGGGUACCCAUUGCGUCAAAAGGGUUAGGGUCACUUGGGUCAAGGAGAGGGUCGAGAGAGGGUUGAGAGAGAGUAAGAGCAAAGGGCCGAGAGAGAGAGUAAGAGGAGAGGGUAGGGGAAACGGUCGAGAGAGGAGUUGCAGAGUGGCUGUCGAACAAACAUCUUAGGUUUUUCUCAGUUCUCAGUCGAACGAACUUCCACCAUCAAAGAUCCAUUUAAGGUUUUGUUUGUUCUAGUCAUCAGAUCAAGUGCAAGGUCGAAAGUUGUUAGAGUUUCAAGCCACUCGCCAUCCAAAAUUUUCGCAGUUCUAAGGGGAGCGCAAGUCUCCGUUAGAUCCGCCAUUGAAGCAACCAAGAUCUUGGAUAGUGAAAUUUAUCUCUGACAAGCAUGAGAACACUGGGACCAACAUUGAAUAAUGGCCUUUUAUAGCGAAAAUUUUCUAUUUCUGCAAGGGGUGGAACAAAAGUAUAUUGUCUGCAAGGAGACCAACAUUGGAAAUCUUCGUUUGUGAAACAGGCUUUCCCCUUUCAAUCUCAUUUAAAGUAUAUUGUCUGAAAAGAGCUAGUGUGGUACUUCAACAUUGAAGACUGUUUAGUGACUAGAUGGGUGCAUUUUUCUUUCUUGGUAAAUGGAUUUAAACAGUUCAAAGCAUCUGGGCGUUGUUCUUCCUGAUCCACUUGUAUCUUCCAACUUAGAAAAUUUUGAAGUUUCUUUUCUGGUAUUCCUGAACUGCUUGAUCCUAUUUGCCUACCAAAAUUCCGACUGAUACCAACAAGAGUUUGAAGUGACAGGCUGAACUUUAGGAGAAGACUAGAAACCAAAUAACUAAAUGCCGUGUUUAGGCACAUCUUAGUCAGUGAAGAACUUUUUUGGUUAAAUAUAUGUUUCUCUCUUAUUUGUAUCAAAUUAAGCACAGCAUUAAAUAUAUGUUUCUGCUAACUGAAAUUGAAAUUGAUGUUCAUUUUUGUU